GUCACCUUCAAAGAUCACUAUUCAUACCUUAGCCCUUAAGUCUUUACCUCAAUUUUCCAAAGCAUCAAACGUUCAACUGUUCGUCCUAAUUUUCCUGUCCAACUUUCCACCCCUUAAACUGAUUCCCACUAUUUUCCUCCAAUUAUUUUUCCGUCAUAAAGUAAUCUCAAUACAGGGCAUUUGAACCUCAGGUGGACUGGACUGGCCUAAAGCUGGUGGUGUGCCGUAGGGCUGACUUUGCCGACGCCAUAGAUGUUUUGCCCUGGCCCCUCAAUAACAGAGCGCUGAUUUUCGUACCAGAAGACAUUGGAUUCUCAGCUUGGGAGGCGUACCGGGCAAGUGCCGCGGUACCGGCAGUGUACCAGUACCUGACUGCCGUGUCGGUACCUCCUAUUCGGGAGCAGCUGGACGUGUUGAGGCGGGAGCCUUGGUCCAGGCGUACCAACCUAACCGGACUCGUCGUACGGUGCUUAUCUGCCGAUUAUCCUCCGUUCUCAAUGACGUCACAUCAGCCUGAUGGAACAAUUACAGUAGCGGGUUUCGCUGGCGAUGUGUGGACAAGCCUCGAACAACAUCUUUCCUUUAAGUACAUCUAAAAACUAACAAUUAUUCAAUACAAAAUUCUUUAGAUUGACAAAAAGUUG